rnacentral:rRNA from 1 species
UACGUAGGGUGCAAGCGUUAAUCGGAAUUACUGGGCGUAAAGCGUGCGCAGGCGGUGAUGUAAGACAGAUGUGAAAUCCCCGGGCUCAACCUGGGAACUGCAUUUGUGACUGCAUCGCUGGAGUACGGCAGAGGGGGAUGGAAUUCCGCGUGUAGCAGUGAAAUGCGUAGAUAUGCGGAGGAACACCGAUGGCGAAGGCGAUCCCCUGGGCCUGUACUGACGCUCAUGCACGAAAGCGUGGGGAGCAAACAGG